AAAUUGAAGAGUUUGAUCAUGGCUCAGAUUGAACGCUGGCGGCAGGCCUAACACAUGCAAGUCGAGCGGUAGCACAGAGAGCUUGCUCUCGGGUGACGAGCGGCGGACGGGUGAGUAAUGUCUGGGAAACUGCCUGAUGGAGGGGGAUAACUACUGGAAACGGUAGCUAAUACCGCAUAACGUCGCAAGACCAAAGUGGGGGACCUUCGGGCCUCAUGCCAUCAGAUGUGCCCAGAUGGGAUUAGCUAGUAGGUGGGGUAACGGCUCACCUAGGCGACGAUCCCUAGCUGGUCUGAGAGGAUGACCAGCCACACUGGAACUGAGACACGGUCCAGACUCCUACGGGAGGCAGCAGUGGGGAAUAUUGCACAAUGGGCGCAAGCCUGAUGCAGCCAUGCCGCGUGUGUGAAGAAGGCCUUCGGGUUGUAAAGCACUUUCAGCGGGGAGGAAGGCGGUGAGGUUAAUAACCUCAUCGAUUGACGUUACCCGCAGAAGAAGCACCGGCUAACUCCGUGCCAGCAGCCGCGGUAAUACGGAGGGUGCAAGCGUUAAUCGGAAUUACUGGGCGUAAAGCGCACGCAGGCGGUCUGUCAAGUCGGAUGUGAAAUCCCCGGGCUCAACCUGGGAACUGCAUUCGAAACUGGCAGGCUAGAGUCUUGUAGAGGGGGGUAGAAUUCCAGGUGUAGCGGUGAAAUGCGUAGAGAUCUGGAGGAAUACCGGUGGCGAAGGCGGCCCCCUGGACAAAGACUGACGCUCAGGUGCGAAAGCGUGGGGAGCAAACAGGAUUAGAUACCCUGGUAGUCCACGCCGUAAACGAUGUCGAUUUGGAGGUUGUGCCCUUGAGGCGUGGCUUCCGGAGCUAACGCGUUAAAUCGACCGCCUGGGGAGUACGGCCGCAAGGUUAAAACUCAAAUGAAUUGACGGGGGCCCGCACAAGCGGUGGAGCAUGUGGUUUAAUUCGAUGCAACGCGAAGAACCUUACCUGGUCUUGACAUCCACAGAACUUUCCAGAGAUGGAUUGGUGCCUUCGGGAACUGUGAGACAGGUGCUGCAUGGCUGUCGUCAGCUCGUGUUGUGAAAUGUUGGGUUAAGUCCCGCAACGAGCGCAACCCUUAUCCUUUGUUGCCAGCGGU
rnacentral:rRNA from 2 species